AUUACGAAGUUUUUAUACACAACUAGAAAACCCGGCGAACUCCGUUUUGCCACCAGAUGGCCUUAUUUCUUUUGGUGAUUAAAAGAUGAAGAAAUUUUUUUUUUUGUCAUUGAAAAGGAAAAAUUUUGUUUCAUUUCACAAAAGUAAUGAAUUCAUUUCAUAAAGAGUUAUUUAGUUGAACUUCUCUAAGUAAAUGGAAGAGAAUACAAAGUAAAUACUGAAUCUUUCCCAGGUACGUCAUAGCGUCUUCAGCGUAUUCGUGCAUGUGGCGUGGGCUUCCGAUAUAAGAUGAUGGGAGAAUUGUCAGACGUCCAAUAUUUUGAA